rnacentral:rRNA from 1 species
UACGGAGGGGGCGAGCGUUAUUCGGAAUUAUUGGGCGUAAAGGGCGCGUAGGCGGCUGUACAAGUCAAAGGUGAAAUCCCUCGGCUCAACUGAGGAACUGCCUUUGAAACUGUACGGCUUGAGGCCGGGAGGGGGUAGCGGAAUUCCCAGUGUAGCGGUGAAAUGCGCAGAUAUCGGGAAGAACACCCGUGGCGAAGGCGGCACUCUGGGACGGUACUGACGCUGAGACGCGAAAGCGUGGGGAGCGAACAGG